CGGGGAGUACCUCAGUUGGUAGAGGCGCACUUUUGGGUGGUGCGUGUCGCGGGUUCGAAUCCCGCCUCCCCGA
rnacentral:tRNA from 1 species